UACGGAGGGUGCGAGCGUUGUCCGGAAUCACUGGGCGUAAAGGGCGCGUAGGCGGUCUGCUAAGCGUGCGGUGAAAGCCUGGGGCUCAACCCCAGGUCUGCCGUGCGAACUGGUGGACUAGAGCACUGUAGAGGCAGGUGGAAUUCCGGGUGUAGCGGUGGAAUGCGUAGAGAUCCGGAAGAACACCGGUGGCGAAGGCGGCCUGCUGGGCAGUUGCUGACGCUGAUGCGCGACAGCGUGGGGAGCAAACGAGG
rnacentral:rRNA from 1 species